GCCGGGUGUGGUAGCACACACCUGUAGUCCCAGCUACUUGGGGGGCUGAGGCGAGAGGAUCGCUUGAGCCCAGGAGAUUGAGGCUGCAGUGAGCUGUGCUUGUGCCACUGCACUCUAGCCUGGGUGACAAAGUGAGACCCUGUCUCAA
rnacentral:SRP_RNA from 1 species